rnacentral:rRNA from 1 species
UACGUAGGGGGCUAGCGUUGUCCGGAAUCAUUGGGCGUAAAGAGCGUGUAGGCGGUCCGGUAAGUCCGCUCUGAAAGCCCGGGGCUCAACCCUGGGAUGCCGGUAGAUACUGUCGAGCUAGAGUCCGGAAGAGGCGAGUGGAAUUCCUGGUGUAGCGGUGAAAUGCGCAGAUAUCAGGAGGAACACCAAUGGCGAAGGCAGCUCGCUGGGACGGUACUGACGCUGAGACGCGAAAGCGUGGGGAGCAAACAGG